rnacentral:lncRNA from 1 species
AGUGAACAGUCCUCUUCUGCAGCCUGAGGAUCAAAAUGUAGAACCCUCAGCUCCUUCAACACCAUGCCUGUCUGGACACUGCCAUGCUUCCUGCCAUGAUAAUGGACUGAACCUCUGAAACUGUAAGCCACCCCAGUUAAAUGUUGCCCUCAUAAGAGUUUCAUUGGUCAUUGUGUCUCUUCAUAGCAAUAAAACCCUAACUAAGACAUUUCGAUUGUUGUGGCUGUCGCUGACAAAUGAGAGUGGAUUGGAGUGUCCACCCUGGCUGCCUGAGGGGUCACAUCACAGAAUGUCCUUAGUGAGUCUCCGAGGCACAGACUUCUGCAUGCCCAGGAAUGUUUUCCUUCACCCUCUCUGGAGGGUGGCUUUGCUGCA